AGGAGAGCUGGGCAUCCUGGAAACCAAACAAAGACAAGGUUUCCAGGAGGAAAGUGUUUCACGGUGCCGACUGCAGCUGCGGGGACCAGUUAGGUGAGGAACUCAGUGUCAGAGGGUCAUCAUUAACCACCUCAGAGCACUUUCAGUGGAAGAGCGAGGAUGAAAGACUCAGCGCAGUGGGUUCACGAGAGAGGAAAGGAGAGAAAUAGAGGACAAGAAGAUUCUGGAAGACAUCUGAGGACAUAAUCACUGACCUGGGGAAGAUCUGCCUUAUCUCUGGCCCAGAGCAAUGGAGUCAACCAUCUAGGAACUGAAAGCUCUGAACCAGUGAGGAAGUCCACAUAUGGAAUCAGGUGGCUCCAGAAUUCACACCAUUAGACUAUACUGCCUGCACAUUUUAAAUGAGGAAGCCAAGACUCAGUUGGUAAAUGAGUCAUCCAGGGACCUACUGCUAUUAAUGAGUGGUACCACAAUCACAACUCACGUUUUGGAUUUUAAGAUUUAUGUCCUUUCUCAUUAUUCCAUGCCUCUUCUAUCAGUUACUAUGGGUGAACUUGGGCAAGUCAUUGAUUUGUUGAGCCUCAUUUUCUACCUAAAAAUUGAGGGUAAUAAUGCUUACUUCAAUAAGUUGUUCUGACAACUAAAUAUAAUUAAUUACGUAAGUUUAAUUCAGUCUCUGGUACAUAAUACAUACUCAAUAAAUGUUAAUUUAAAUAAUAGAUGAAUUCCCUAGAAAUGUUUGGGUUAGUUUAUUAAGAACAUGUUAACCUUGUAAUGAGAAUAUAUGUAAAGUAAAACUGUUGGUUUUACAUAAUUUAUGCUUCUUAAUCCUUGAAGGUUGUUUUGACCAGGUCAUCUUGGGAGCUAAAAAGUUGUGCUGUGGAAACACUUCCAGUAAGGGGCAAAGAAGUUUUCAUGUCAGUGGCU